CCAAUAGCGUAUAUUAAAGUUGUUGCAGUUAAAAAGCUCGUAGUUGAAUUUCGGGAUCAAUGCGUCGGUCGUGCCAUUGGUACGUACUAACGAUAUUGAUUUCUCCCUUCUGACGAACCGUGAUGUCAUUAAUUUGGUGUUACGGGGAGUUAGGACUGUUACUUUGAAAAAAUUAGAGUGUUUAAAGCAAGCAAUCGCUCGAAUACAUUAGCAUGGAAUAAUGAAAUAGGACGUUCGAACCUAUUUUGUUGGUUUCUAGGAUCGACGUAAUGAUUAAUAGGGAUAGUUGGGGGCAUUAGUAUUCAAUUGUCAGAGGUGAAAUUCUUGGAUUUAUUGAAGACUAACUACUGCGAAAGCAUUUGCCAAGGAUGUUUUCAUUAAUCAAGAACGAAAGUUAGGGGAUCGAAGACGAUCAGAUACCGUCGUAGUCUUAACCAUAAACUAUGCCGACUAGGGAUCGGAUGAUGUUAAUUUUUUAAUGACUCAUUCGGCGCCUUACG
rnacentral:rRNA from 1 species